CCUACGGGAGACAGCAGUGAGGAAUAUUGGUCAAUGGGCGCGAGCCUGAACCAGCCAAGUCGCGUGAGGGAAGACGGUCCUAUGGAUUGUAAACCUCUUUUGUCGGGGAGCAAAAGACGCCACGCGUGGCGUUCCGAGAGUACCCGAAGAAAAAGCAUCGGCUAACUCCGUGCCAGCAGCCGCGGUAAUACGGAGGAUGCGAGCGUUAUCCGGAUUUAUUGGGUUUAAAGGGUGCGCAGGCGGAAGGUUAAGUCAGCGGUAAAAUUGAGAGGCUCAACCUCUUCGAGCCGUUGAAACUGGUUGUCUUGAGUGAGCGAGAAGUAUGCGGAAUGCGUGGUGUAGCGGUGAAAUGCAUAGAUAUCACGCAGAACUCCGAUUGCGAAGGCAGCAUACCGGCGCUCAACUGACGCUCAGGCACGAAAGUGUGGGUAUCGAACAGGAUUAGAUACCCUUGUAGUC
rnacentral:rRNA from 1 species